rnacentral:rRNA from 1 species
CCUACGGGGGGCAGCAGUGGGGAAUAUUGCACAAUGGGGGAAACCCUGAUGCAGCAACGCCGCGUGAGUGAGGAAGUAUUUCGGUAUGUAAAGCUCUAUCAGCAGGGAAUAGAAAAGAAGGUACCUGAAAAAGAAGCCCCGGCUAACUACGUGCCAGCAGCCGCGGUAAUACGUAUGGUGCAAGCGUUAUCCGGAUUUACUGGGUGUAAAGGGAGCGCAGGCGGCACGGCAAGCCUGAUGUGAAAGCCCGCGGCCCAACCGCGGGACUGCAUUGGGAACUACCGGGCUGGAGUGCCGGAGAGGUA